GGAUUGAUAGCUCAGUGGUAGAGCGGGAGAUUGCAGCUCCACGCGCGAUUAUCUUCAGGUCCCGUGUUCGAUCCACGGUCGGUCCU